CUAGUAAAUAAUUAGUCAAAUUAGUGUUUCCGGAUUGUUCAUCUUUUCUGAAAAACAAUAUUUUUUGCAUAAUGUUGAUUCACAACUUCUACCCUACAUACAACAUAGAAGAAUUACUUAUGAACUCAUUGGGCGAUAAAGUUUUAUCAUGGUGAAUUGAGCCUGUUUACAUCAGCAUAUAAAACAAUCAUUUUGGGGGCUAUGAUACACUCCGCAAUAUAAACGCUAUAUUAUUUGUUAUGCUAUUGAUUUGAUUGACCCUACACAUACUCUUAACCAACCAACAAACCCUAUAAUAUAAUGCAUACACAUGAUGUAGCCGCUGUUUUACCAGUUAACUGCAGUUGAUAGGAAAAUAAUAAUGCGAAUCAUCAUCAUAUCAGUUAACACAAGAAAUCGACCUUUAAACUGAUUAAAAUGCUCGUGACAUGACCCAUAACUGCUAAGAGACACCACGAGGUAGGAAAGGUGUCCUGUCCAACCAUAAAAUUUACUAUGGGAUGCGGUAAUAAUGCUAUUACUGGACACUAUGCAUGUACGGUGUGUGGGUUCAAGGUAUUCACGAAAAAGUCCAACUUUAAGGCGCAUCUGAUUAAGGAAGCUUGGUUUAGCUUUCUCCCGACAGUUGGUGAAAUUUCCCAAACCGACGUUGUAGGCGUAGAAGUUAAAACUUUGUCUUCUUCUAAUGUUCAAUUGGGAGAUAAUAAUGUCUCACCGGAACAUGCUGAACAAUGUUUUAAGAUUUCUUGUAGCAAAUGUGAAAGUCCAUUGGGGAAAAGCUGCUUUUCGAAAAGCAGCUUUGGAGAAGCAGAACAGCGGUACCAAUUUCUCACCGGAUCACUAAAGUUCGUGCCACCACAAAAAUCUUGACGAGUAGCAUUGUCUUUCAUCCUUUAAAAAUGAAAAUCUAAUGACGAGUUGAACGGAAGCAAAAAACCAUAGAUUUGUGAAGCACAGGAGAUAAACCUAUAUACUAGGAGCUCCUGUACGGAUAUUAUUGUAACUCUGGUUGAAUGUAAUCUCAUGACUUCUUGUAAACCAAUUAAGUAAUAAGUUUCACUGCCAAGUAUGUCUUUCAAUAUUUAUCCAAUAAAAACAUACACACAUACUACAAA